rnacentral:rRNA from 1 species
GAUCCUGGCUCAGGAUGAACGCUAGCUACAGGCUUAACACAUGCAAGUCGAGGGGCAUCAGUUUGGUUUGCUUGCAAACCAAAGCUGGCGACCGGCGCACGGGUGAGUAACACGUAUCCAACCUGCCUCAUACUCGGGGAUAGCCUUUCGAAAGAAAGAUUAAUAUCCGAUAGCAUAUAUUUCCCGCAUGGGUUUUAUAUUAAAGAAAUUCGGUAUGAGAUGGGGGUGCGUUCCAUUAGUUUGUUGGGGGGGG